CGGACGGGUGAGUAAUGUCUGGGAAACUGCCUGAUGGAGGGGGAUAACUACUGGAAACGGUAGCUAAUACCGCAUAACGUCGCAAGACCAAAGAGGGGGACCUUAGGGCCUCUUGCCAUCGGAUGUGCCCAGAUGGGAUUAGCAGUAGGUGGGGUAACGGCUCACCUAGGCGACGAUCCCUAGCUGGUCUGAGAGGAUGACCAGCCACACUGGAACUGAGACACGGUCCAG
rnacentral:rRNA from 1 species